CGGACAGCGUCCUCUGCCCACACUAGCCUGCUGCCCUCCCUCCUCCCCAGUUACUGGGAUGGGCAGAAGGCACCCGCUGGGCCCUCCAGCAGUUCAGCGGAACACUAGUUCCGCCUGGCCACAGGGCCUGUGACAACCUGGACCCCCACGGUUCUGCUACCUGAGCGCCUCCUUCAGGCCCCUCCCCGCUGGUGUGUUCCUGGGUCCCUGUGCGCUUUCUGUUUCGCUCGGAGGCACCCUGGCUGUGAAGCUCAUGUGACGCUCAGCUCUGUCACCGGUUUCCACAUACCAAAACCAAACGAUUUCACCACCACGUGCUCUGGGAGUUUUAGGAUGGACGCGGAUAAAGCAUUUUUAAAAGACAACCUGAAACGUCACACUGACUGCAACACGGGAUGUGUUCAGAUUAGAAGACCCUCUCUCCACUACCGAUGCAUCACCAGGUGGGUGCAUAUUCAGCUGUUAACUGCAUGUUCCUAGGGGGUGAAGCCUUUGCUCCAGGACAAGGUUAAGGGCAGACAUAGCCAGAAGGUACCUCCACGCAAGGCCAGAGCCAAUAUGAAAUAUGAAAUGACAGAAAGUAGUUUAGGGAUUCUAGAGCCUGAAAAGAACUGAAGGAAGAGAAACUGAGGUUUAGAGACGUUAAAUCACCUUCCAAGGUGACACAGCUGGUUGGAAGCAUCCGACAAGGCCAAAUUCUCAUUCAGAGCUCUUUCAUGAUUCCAGAAGGCAAUAGGGAAUCGGAUCAUUAUAUAGGCCUUAAAGUUAAUGAACUAAAAAAGGUCUUGAGAAGAUUGAAGAAGAAAAAAGAAAAAAAAAAAAGGCACCAGGGACUAGAAGUGGAAGAUGGCUCAGAUCGAUAAAGUUGCAUCGAACUUGGUUGACCCUUCGCAUGAGGAGGUUCAGGGAGCAGAUCCAUCCCAAGUGGACUCCUCUCCUCCUACAGCCUUUCUCGAGAUCCCUACCUGGAAGUGACCCCUCCCUUUCCAAGCCCCAGAUCAUUCAUAUACUGCGUGGAGUUAGGAUGACGUUUCUCCUGUCUUUUCACGUGGUCCCUGCUCACAGGCAGUGAAUGCCCUGGAGGGCCAAAGACCAGAGAUGAAACUCAACACAAGCUGCUUGAAGGCGACGGUAGGAGGAAGAAGAAAGCAGGAAAUCAUUGCAAGCAGGGUGGGCAUGGACGAUGGGGGACAAGGCACUCACAGACUGCAUCACCAUGGGGUUCUUUUCAAGGACGGACUGGGGCUUUCUGGCCUUGGCUGAGGACCACCCAACAGUCUGAGCUCUCCUCCCGGACAUGGCAGCCAUGGGGCAACCUCAUGGACUAUUCAGGAAAGUGAGAAAGAUGGAGUCUAUGGGGGAUGCGAGGUCAGGCAGUCAGGAUACAGUUCCGAGGGUGUUAAAAUCCACACCCAGUGAUCCUGGCCCUCUGGCUGUGUCCAGGGCACGAGAGCAAGCGUGUCAAUAUUUGUCCUGAAGCUAGUGUUGUAGAGUUGGAUGAGACCUCGGACACCAACUGACCCUUGGCCCCCACAUGUCAGGAGGGCAACUCGUCCUCAGAGGAGACAGCUUGCUCUGGUCACCAAGUGGGAAGGUGGCAGAGCCUUGAACAACUGGACAUUGGACCACCCUGCCCAGAGCACUUCUUUCUUCCCUGCUGCUGCCUCUGGAGGGGACUUCAGAGACAGAAGGCACUUGGUGCUCAUUUCUGAGCCCCCUGUCCAGGGCCCUAGACCCACAGAUUGACCCUCUGGGCCCACAGGCCUGGAUUCCUUGAUAGGAAAGCUCUCAAGGGCUGAAUAAGAAUCGCGCAGUCGGCCAGCUACUCUGACAUAGCACCUCUUCCGGAACACAAUUGCGAGCCUAAGACGCAAAAAGCCCUUAGUACAGUGCCUGGUUCACAGUAGGCAGUUUUUACUGUAAAUUGUGAUUUCUUUGGAGGAGAAGCCCACAGAACAAAGCAAAAAAUAAGUGGAUGUGAAGAGGAAGGUGUGGGCCCAGGUCCUACAAACUCCCAAACCUGUACCUUGCAAAAAAGUGUGAUUUGGAGUACGGGGCAAG